rnacentral:misc_RNA from 1 species
AACUGUCAUUGCGGCUGUUCAGAAGGCGCGCUGCAUUCUCGGCCGUGACAUCGGGUCCAGUUCGCAGGACCGCGAGGCAACGAUCAGCAGCCUGCGAUCCGUGCUCGAUGACGAUCAGGUCGUACGUGCGCUGGAGCGGAUCGGCCAGCGAAGCCGCCCUACGCCGGCGAAGAUUGUUGAAAGUCCUUGGAGUUAAGUCAUUCGGACCGAACGCACAGCGGAGACCACGAUGAA